CUUACUAUUGUACGGGGUGUUGUUUGUAUUGCAAGAGCGGAAGGAUGUGAACUGGUCAUCAAUAUCAAAGGAACCCAGACGGUUAGACUGGACUCAAUAGAUUUGAUUCGCAGAGCCUUUACAUCGCCUUGUUAUCUUCAUUAUGCUGAGAUGCCAGAGUUAUCCAACCUCACCAUCACAGAGAUUAACAACAUCCCCGUGCCCAUCGGCUCUCAAGCAAACCAGAUUGACAAAAUUAUGAAGGAAGCCCUGGAGACCUCAAGAGGAAUAAUAAUACUUCGUGCUGUUCCACAAUCGUUGCUGGACGAUUUGGCCGAAUAGGAUGAUUAUAUGCAGGAAGAGCAAGCACAUGACAUCUUGGAUGAAUAAUAUUGCACUAUUAAAAAUUCAAUAAGAUAUUUCUUCGAAAACUAGAAGAUCUUCAUUCUAAUCCCCAAAGAUCUCCCCUCUUAAACUUGGAGAUCUUUCUUCUACAGGAGAUGUCUGUACAUCAGGGAACAGCGUUUAAAGGUGAAAUUCAGAGAAAAUCACAAAUAUGUCAACUAUUGUAUCACUAGAAACUGGUAAACUAACAGAGGGCCAUCGUACAAGUUAUAGGUCAGCUACAUAUUGGGUUAUUUAUAAAAAUACAAAUACAACCACCUCCAUAGCAGCUGGGAUAUACGAGAGACUCGCCGGAAAAAUAACGA